ACUUGGAGGGUCUUCAGUAUCAACUGAUCUCAUGCUUUCAUCAUAUACAUGAGGAUGCCGGGGUCCCCAGGCCAUGCAGGGAGGUACCAGCCUGGCCCACCCCUGAGCUUCUAGCUGCCUUCCCCUUCCAUUGACUUGCCCCGGAGCCUGCUCCCAAGCCCUUGGGAGACGUCAGGUGCUCAUCUCCCCAGACAAACACUCACAGGCAACAGUCACGCCCCACCCUGGCUGCACGCUGCAUGGAGGGUCUCGUUUUUGACAUCCCACUCUUGUCCCAUUAAGAACGGUGGGAAAAUUGGGCUGGGAGCAGGGCUACCGGGCCAGCAGGUAAAAGUACCACUCACCUCUCUCGGAGAGGACUGCUGGGAAGAGCAUGGACGCUGGAAAUGAAGCAGUUUAAGCUCUUUGGAAAGUUCCUAGUGCCUUAGGAUUCCAGGAAGUGCCAAAGCACAGAGUCGCAGAAGAGGAAAAGAUUUCUGAGAAAAGGAUGACAUGAAUACACAGGGGCCGGCGAAAGUUGGUUUACAGUUGUGAGAACACGAGCAGUUUAUUGCUGUAUUAUUAUUUAUCACGCUCAGAGGUCGGCCCACUGCGAUCGCCUUUUUGUAGAGGGGGAAUAGAGGACCAGGGUGGUUGUGGAAAUGGACCCAAGUCGCUGAACUGAGAGAGGGAGAAAGAGAGGGAGAGAAACAUCAAUGUGUGAAGACAAAACGUCAAUCAGCUGCCUCUCACACACCUGCAACUGGGGACCUGGCCCGAAACCCAGGCAUGUGCCCUGGCUGGGAAUCGAAUCAGCAGCUUUUCAGUCCACAGGCCAGGGCUCAAUCCACUGAGCCACGUCAGCCAGGGCCACUGCUUUUUGUUCUUCCUGUUUUCUACUACGAUGAUGCUCAAGCCAUAUCCUUUAUGUGUGAAAGAUUUUUUUACCAUACUUUCUUCAAAUUUGCCAGAGCCCUUCACUGAAGUUGAACUUCAAGGAGAUGUGAGAUUAUGUGGUGGAGUAACUACAUCAAAAGGACCACAAGUAGACUUGGAGGAGUAAAACAGCUCUGCGGGGGAGAGUAAAACCCCUCUCUCUUCCAGCAACAAAUUCAGAGAAGAGCUGAGCCGGUCCCCAAUCUGCCUUCUGGGGGGGGCCCACCCCCCACUCCUCUGCUCACUUUGCAUUCACUGCUCCAGCUCAGGCGAGGGUGGGGGAGGGGAGUUGUUGCCAUUUCCUUAUUUGCCGACAUUCUUUUAUCAUAAUACACACAGCAGAGCAAAUAUUGCCUUGUAACAUGUUAGGCAUUAGCAGCCUUCAUGUGUUUUCUUAGAGGUUCUUCCUUUGUCUUAGAUGCAGGCAAGCUGGCCCCUGCACUGCUGACCACUGUAACACCAGGGAAGGUGGGCCCAUGGGUAGUUGGGUAGUGGGUUUCAGGAGGAUUUGGCUUUUUCGCUCAGCUACUUUACCUGAAAGGAGAGUUGAAGACAGUUAUAUAUGCUCCUUGGAGAUAAUCAACAGUGACUGGGUUUUGGGGAUCCACCCCUACCACCCCAAGUGGUGAGAGCAGUUGUUGACUCAUUGACUGACCGAACCCACAUCCCAAGACAUUUGGAAGAAGUACAACUUUUUCAAAGGUGCGGUAUGGAAAAAAUAGUGGAGGUGGGGGGU